UAACUGCGCUCCUGAGCUGUUGUACCGGUUUUCCAUGGUUUGCUUUAAUCGGCAGGCUGUGGUGGCUGGUGUGUUUACCUUGAAUAAAUCAAAAUGCUCAAGAUAGGCGUCUCGCCUGAAUGACAGUGCAUGGAAUAAUGGAAUAAGACUUCGGUUUAUUCUGUUGGUCUUGGAACCGAUGUAAUGGUUAAGAGGGACUGACGGGGGCAUUUGUAUCGAUGCGUGAGAGGUGAAAUUCUUGGACCGCAUCGAGACAAACUACUGCGAAAGCAUUUGCCAAGAAUGUCUUCAUUAAUCAAGAACGAAAGUCAGAGGAUCGAAGGCGAUUAGAUACCGCCCUAGUUCUGACCGUAAACGAUACCAUCUAGCGAUCCGAUAGGGUCUAUCUAGCCUUGUCGGGGAGCUUCCCGGAAACGAAAGUCUUUCGGUUCCGGGGGUAGUAUGGUUGCAAAGCUGAAACUUAAAGAAAUUGACGGAAGGGCACCACCAGGAGUGGAGCUUGCGGCUUAAUUUGACUCAACACGGGAAAACUCACCCGGUCCGGACACCGUAAGGAUUGACAGACUGAUAGCUCUUUCUUGAUUCGGUGGUUGGUGGUGCAUGGCCGUUCUUAGUUGGUGGAGUAAUUUGUCUGGUUUAUUCCGAUAACGAGCGAGACUCUAGCCUGCUAAAUAGAACGAGGAUAAACCUUUUCAUAGGUCCUCGAUGCUUCUUAGAGGAAUUAGCGG
rnacentral:rRNA from 1 species